GCGGGAGUGGUGGAAUCGGUAGACACGCAGGAUUUAGGUUCCUGUGCCUUCGGGCGUGGGGGUUCAAGUCCCCCCUUCCGCA
rnacentral:tRNA from 4 species